rnacentral:rRNA from 1 species
UUCCAGACUCCUACGGGAGGCAGCAGUGGGGGAUAUUGCACAAUGGGGGGAACCCUGAUGCAGCGACGCCGCGUGGGUGAAGAAGCGCCUCGGCGCGUAAAGCCCUGUCAGCAGGGAAGAAAAUGACGGUACCUGAAGAAGAAGCCCCGGCUAACUACGUGCCGGCAGCCGCGGUAAUACGUAGGGGGCAAGCGUUAUCCGGAUUUACUGGGUGUAAAGGGAGCGUAGACGGCCAGACAAGUCUGAAGUGAAAAUCCAGCGCUUAACGUUGGAAGUGCUUUGGAAACUGCCGGGCUGGAGUGCAGGAGGGGCAGGCGGAAUUCCUAGUGUAGCGGUGAAAUGCGUAGAUAUUAGGAGGAACACCAGUGGCGAAGGCGGCCUGCUGGACUGCAACUGACGUUGAGGCUCGAAGGCGUGGGGAGCAAACAGGAUUAGAUACCCGAGUA